CGCUGACCGGCCCGGCCGGCCGGCCCCUUCUGGGUCCUCCCUGUGCAGCCCGUGCGGGGCCGUCCCGGAGACCCCGCGCCGACGGCUGCUCAAACAUCAGGGCUGGCCUCAAACUGGAAGUGAUCCUCCUGCCUCACCUUCCCGAUUGCUGACCUACACUACCAUGCCUGGCUAGCUGGCCCCCGAGAGGACGCUGUCCAAGUCCCCAGCCGGGGGCCCCGCGUAGACCUGGAGUGGAUGCCCCCUCCUUCCCUUCAUGAUUCGCUUGUAGCGCAGGUAACUGGGAAGGGGGUCCCGUCCCGUCCUGGGGCAGCCUCCUCUCCAUGCACUUCCUGGGCCCACCGUGGGCAUGGGGGAGAAGGCCUGGCCCCUGGCCCUGGGUCCUAAGGGCCUCCCUCCCCCAGCCCUCCCCUCCAGACGCUCGGCCGGCUGUGCCUUUUCUGGCUCCCUUCAGGCAGGUUGUCAAAGGAGGGUCUCAUUGGCCACAAAUCUGGUGACGCAGAGAGAAGCAGGCACCACUGGGGCUGCUGAGGAGCAGGGCGGUCACCUGUACGGCGUGUCCUGUCUGCGCCUUGUGGUGGGAGGGGAGUGUGGGAGCGGGCGUGUAACACGUCCUGGGUGGGUGUGUCUGAGCGGGGUCAGCUGCCCCGGCGCACAGGGGAGAAGCCCCACGUCCGCCUCCGGGCCCGCCUGAGACCGCCUUUCGCAGAGGUCGGGUGGUGAUGAGGAGGUCACUGCCAGGUGCAAUCAGAGCGCUUUCCGGUGAGGGCCCCCACAGAGCUGCGUGCCUGUGUGUGAGAGGUGCCCCACCUGGUCCGCACGCCCGACCUCUCGGACAUGACUGCCUCACCGUGCGUGCGUGGAUGGGGAGGUCUAGAAAGGAAGGACAUGGGUGGGUGGAGGCUUGGAAG
ensembl:lncRNA